CCUGGGAGGAUCACGUGGACGGAAGCAGCGCCAGGGCCGGCGCAGCCUACGGGGACCCGCGGGGCCUCGGGCGGUUCUGCGGCUGAGGGCUUGGGUUUAUUUUUCUCCUUUCAGGAAAGCGCUAGAAUAAAAAUGUGUGUUUUUAUUAUAAAAGAACACUUGCCUGUCGGCAUUGUCAGCUAGCAGCCUUACCCUUCACUAUGCACCCUGCAAAACUCUUUACGUCAAUAAUUUCAAUUAAGCACAUCGUGAACGCUCCGUGAACAUAAAGAGCAUUUUUUUCUUAUUUAUUUACAUUUUUAAAAAUUUAAAUUCAAUUUCCAACGUACAAUAUAACACCCAGUGCAUAUUUUUAAACCCAUUUGGCAUACGAAGAAAGCGGGAAUGCGCCCUGGUAUGUGGCAGUCUAGCAGAGGCCUCCCAGCAUCAGUCUGAUACUCUUAGUAAUUACCAUCUAAAUAAAGUUGAAAAACAAUAAAGGGUUUUUAGGGGAAGAAAAGUCUUAGAAUUUCACGUGCAGUUAAUAUUUCAGUGUUUUUCCUCCCGCUCUUAUGUUGUGAAACAUUAAUUGUAAAAAUAGUUGUGUGUGUGCAUUUUUGUCACUCAUUCAACAAGUAUUUCUUGAGACUCUACUAUGGGCCAUGCCCUGUUCUGUGAACCGAACAAGACAAACAUAAUAAUAAUUCUGUUUGGAAGUAUUUAAUACGAGAUGUUUACCUCUUAGGUAAGAAGAGAUGUUGAGUAGAGGACUGAAUGCAUUCCUGUCCAGAUGGCAACGUAGGGGUCAGAGCUGGAGGUGUGACUUAAAUGCCUGAAAUACUCUUCACUGCUGAACCAUGUGGAGAAUUUAAAGCCAUGGAACUGGUUGUGAUCAUUUAGGAAGAGAGUGAUGAAAAGGAUGAAGAAGAGAAGAGGAUCCAGUUGGACCUUGGGGUGCUCCAACACUUAGCAGUAGACUGGAAGGGGAAUGGGGUGGAUAGAGCCAGUGACAUAGAUAGGGACCAGUCUUGGCAUGGAAGAAGAAUCAGGGGUCAACUAUGCUGGAAGCUGAGGAUAGAAAAGCAGCUGCCAAAUCUGACAAGGUGAAGGUCACUGGUGACCUUGACAGGUACAGUCCUGUGUUGAAGAAAGGAAGAAAAACACGCGUGGAUUGUGGAGGAAAUCGGGUAGAUCUUCACUUUAAUUCAUUACAGCUCUCUUAAGGAAAUCUGUGAAAGCGGUAGAUCUUCUCCUCAGAAUAAAGUAAAUAAGCUCAUUCACACUAAAGUGUGUAGAUGAUUUCAGAAAAUUAGAAGUCUGCAGUCAUCUGAAGGGUGAAGAAAGAGGUGAGUGGAUGCCUGUGAGCCUCACAUGGUCUCCUGCCCUGAACAGUAAGAAAGGAACUUGACUCGGAUGAAAUUUAGGUGCAGCCAUUAUCGACAGCCUGUUGUGUACAAGGCGUCAUAAGUGGUGAUGAGUAAAGCCAGGUCUCUGGUGCUUUCUACCAUGCAGUGCUGGAAGCUGGCCAGUUGAGUAGAAGAGAGUGUGGCGAUUGGGAUUAGAUGAAUCUGGUUUAAUCCUGGUUUUGCCUUGUACCAGGAUGUGAUUUAAAUUAUUUAUAUAACCUUCUUGAAACUCAAGUUUCCUUAUCUGUAAAAUGGGAGUAAUGCUACUCAUCUUGCGGGAUUGCUGAAACAUGGCAAAUGCUCAGUAAAUGUUAGUUUUCUUACCUCCUUCUGAAAGCUGUCGAAUCCAAGUGCAAUUUUGGUCCUCUCAAAAGCUGUUUAUGUAGCUUUUAUGAAUCUUGUAUUAUUUUAGUAGUUGAAACAUUUUUUUCUAAUUACAAAAGCAAUGCAUU